GAUGAACGCUGGCGGCGUGCCUAAUACAUGCAAGUCGAGCGAACGGACGAGAAGCUUGCUUCUCUGAUGUUAGCGGCGGACGGGUGAGUAACACGUGGAUAACCUACCUAUAAGACUGGGAUAACUUCGGGAAACCGGAGCUAAUACCGGAUGAUAUUUUGCACCGCAUGGUUCAAAAGUGAAAGACUGUCUUGCUGUCACUUAUAGAUGGAUCCGCGCUGCAUUAGCUAGUUGGUAAGGUAACGGCUUACCAAGGCAACGAUGCAUAGCCGACCUGAGAGGGUGAUCAGCCACACUGGAACUGAGACACGGUCCAGACGCAUACGGGAGGCAGCAGUAGGGAAUCUACCGCAAUGGGAGAAAGCCUGACGGAGAAACGCCGCGUGAGUGAUGAAGGGCUUCGGAUAGUAAAACUCUGUUAUUAGGGAAGAACAUAUGUGUAAGUAACUGUGCACAUCUUGAAGGUACCUAAUCAGAAAGCCACGGCUAACUACGUG
rnacentral:rRNA from 1 species